rnacentral:rRNA from 1 species
AAGUCGUAACAAGGUUUCCGUAGGUGAACCUGCGGAAGGAUCAUUAGUGAAUGAGGCUUUCGAGCUUCGACCCACUGCCAUUGCACUUUGGCUGUGCGCUUCUCCGGAGGCUUGCACGCCAAUUUGCAUUGAUUCUCACACCUGUGCACCUUUCGAGAUGUGGGAUGUGGAAGAUUUUAUUUUCCAAGCCCUGUCUCGCUUUUUACCAAACCACUGUCAUGAAUGUACAAAACCUAUAACUUAUACAACUUUCAACAACGGAUCUCUUGGCUCUCGCAUCGAUGAAGAACGCAGCGAAAUGCGAUAAGUAAUGUGAAUUGCAGAAUUCAGUGAAUCAUCGAAUCUUUGAACGCACCUUGCGCUCCUUGGUAUUCCGAGGAGCAUGCCUGUUUGAGUGUCACGUGAAACCCUCACCCCUGCGAUGUCAAAGUCGUGGACGGUGGAUUUGGACGCUGCCGUUGUUGGCUCGUCUCGAAAUGCAUUAGCCGUGCGCGUCGCGCCAGCGCCUCUUGGUGUGAUAAUUAUCUACGCCGUUCAGAGUGCCAGUGCCCAAGACUGUGGCUCAUAGCCGUCUUCGGACAAUUCACUUUAACGCUCUGGCCUCAAAUCAGGUAGGACUACCCGCUGAACUUAA